GUGUGUGUGUAUGUGUGUGUGUGUGUGUGUGUAAUGUGUAUUUCAUUUCUUUUAUUUGUUUUCCCUACUGUUUACUGAGUGAGAAUUCUAUGUAGAACCCAAGACUUGUCAAUCAACAGCUAAGGGAAUGAAACACUUUGCACUUGAUGAGAAUCAACAUGGUUUUCCUGAAGAUAUUUCAACCCAUGUUGGACAUUCGAGAUCUGAUCCAAAAUAAAGAGGUUCAUCCCCCUUGGACUUCAGCCUUGCCCUGCAUACAUCUUUUCUAUCUCAUUGGAAAAACUUGUUAUUUGUUGAGAGACAUGUGAAUUUGCAGCUUUAGAUGUUCUAUUCAGGCAGCAUUUAAGUUUGGAGGGUCAACAGAUCAGACUUGGAGUCCUGAUAUGUGUCAGAAAUUGGGGAAGAUUACUGCCUGAGACAGCACAGGGCAGCGACAGUGAGAGAUGAAGGCAACAUCAGUGUGCGCCAGAGUUUUGCAACUCCACACGCAGUCCAUCAUGGACCAACAACUGCAGCAUCACCUAGGAGCUGUUAGAAGUACAGACUCUCAGAUCCCACCCCAGAUUCCUGAGUUGGAAUCUGUAAUUUGAUAAGAUUCUCAGGUACAUUAAAGUUCGAAAAGUGGCAUGUUAGUGAACUGAGAUUUCUAUGUCAAGGGAUGUACUUGGUGUUGAAGAGCUGAGUUCAGAGUUCAGAGAGCAGGUGUUCAAAAGCAAGUUCAAGUCAUACAAAAGAGCCAAGAAUAACCCAAGAGCUUCCACAUAUCUCUGUAAACAGGGUUAGAGGUUGUCAGGGUCACAGGCAGGACAGAUACCUUGCACAUUUUUUUCUUAAGAAAUCUCGAUUAUCAAUCUCAAAUUUUCUUUAAAGUGUUUUUUACUAUAACACAAAUAUUGAAACACAAAUAUGUGUACAAAUUAAUGCAUUUUAAUACUGUUUUACUGAGGUAAAAUUUACAUGUAAUAAAAUGCAUAACUUUUGAAGAAUGUGUUGUGUAUAUCAGAUAAUUGCUACUCUGAUUGAAAUAUAAAACAUGUUCAU
rnacentral:lncRNA from 1 species